rnacentral:rRNA from 1 species
UUUCGCAAUGCCCGAAAGGGUGACGAAGCGACGCCGCGUGUGGGAAGAAGGCCUUCGGGUUGUAAACCACUGUCGGGAGUUAAGAAAUACAAGGAUAUUAAUAGUGUCUUUGUUUGACUAAGGCUCCGGAGGAAGCCACGGCUAACUCUGUGCCAGCAGCCGCGGUAAUACAGAGGCGGCAAGCGUUGUUCGGAAUUAUUGGGCGUAAAGAGCACGUAGGCGGCUAUGUAAGUCGGUUGUGAAAGCCUUCCGCUCAACGGAAGAACAGCAUCCGAUACUACAUGGCUUGAGUGCGGGAGGGGAGAGUGGAACCUCUGGUGGAGCGGUGAAAUGCGUAGAUAUCAGAAGGAACGCCGGCGGCGAAAGCGGCUCUCUGGCCCAUAACUGACGCUGAGUGUGCGAAAGCUAGGGGAGCAGACGGGAUUAGAUACCCCGGUAGUCCUAGCCGUAAACGAUGGGCACUAAGUAGAGGGGUUUU